GACGAACGCUGGCGGCGUGCCUAAUACAUGCAAGUAGAACGCUGAAGAGAGGAGCUUGCUCUUCUUGGAUGAGUUGCGAACGGGUGAGUAACGCGUAGGUAACCUGCCUGGUAGCGGGGGAUAACUAUUGGAAACGAUAGCUAAUACCGCAUAAAAUGGAUUAUCGCAUGAUAAUCCAUUGAAAGGUGCAAAUGCAUCACUACCAGAUGGACCUGCGUUGUAUUAGCUAGUUGGUGGGGUAACGGCUCACCAAGGCGACGAUACAUAGCCGACCUGAGAGGGUGAUCGGCCACACUGGGACUGAGACACGGCCCAGACUCCUACGGGAGGCAGCAGUAGGGAAUCUUCGGCAAUGGACGGAAGUCUGAACGAGCAACGCCGCGUGAGUGAAGAAGGUUUUCGGAUCGUAAAGCUCUGUUGUAAGAGAAGAACGAGUGUGAGAGUGGAAAGUUCACACUGUGACGGUAUCUUACCAGAAAGGGACGGCUAACUACGUG
rnacentral:rRNA from 1 species